GGGUUGUGAGGUUAAGCGACUAAGCGUACACGGUGGAUGCCCUGGCAGUCAGAGGCGAUGAAGGACGUGCUAAUCUGCGAUAAGCGUCGGUGAGGUGAUAUGAACCGUUAUAACCGGCGAUUUCCGAAUGGGGAAACCCAGUGUGAUUCGUCACACUAUCAUUAACUGAAUCCAUAGGUUAAUGAGGCGAACCGGGGGAACUGAAACAUCUAAGUACCCCGAGGAAAAGAAAUCAACCGAGAUUCCCCCAGUAGCGGCGAGCGAACGGGGAGGAGCCC
rnacentral:rRNA from 1 species